rnacentral:lncRNA from 1 species
GUAAGUUCCUGUUCGGCUCAGGAAAGCAAGGUUCUGCCAUUCACCAUGUCAAAGGCUGAGUGUUCAAAACUAGACCCUGGUGAUCUACCGUACUAGGUCACAGGGGAUCACAGAAAGGAAUGGAAAUCCUAAUGUUUGGAGCCAAUAUCUGGAAGUGCUUUCUUCAAGUCUCCUCACUUAUGUAAGUAGCUCAAUUAAUUUGACAAUGAGCAAGGAAAAUUUGACUGCAUUUCUUGGCUAAGUAUAUGCUUAGACCCCUCACUUGCUAUGUUCUUGAAGUUACUAGCAUACCAUUUUUAAGCAAAGAACUUGGCUUUCUCUUCCUGAGGUUACAUUCCUUUUUGGAAUAUUGCUUAAGACUUUGUGUUUAUUGUGUUUAAGCUGAGAAGCAGAUAAAUGCAUAAACUAAUGUCCCAGUCAGCAUCUGCUUUAUGACUGUACUCCUUUUUUCAUAUUUGUCCAUAAUGUUAUUCUGUUCGUAUUCCAGUAUAGGAAGUAGCAAAGAGAGGCCCUAAUCCUACAUUUGUCCAUAUGGACUCCAUAGCCCACACUGGGAUUUUAUUAUUUCAGUAAAAUUGCCAAGUGCUAUAAACAGUCAAAACAUUUUGUGUGUGACAUUUUUUCAUGUCUUCAGAUUUUAGGUGCCUGCUUUCCUCCUGGCCCCCCAUUCAUGGCAAUUUCUUAAAUGAUUUCCUUUCUUUUCGUCUCUCCUCCAAUUCCAAUACCCACCAUACCCUCAAUUUCCAAGACUUUAAGAGCCUGUCUUCUCAAGAAUCAGAGCUGAAUGGCCAGAAAUGA